rnacentral:lncRNA from 1 species
AAAUGGAGGAUUCAAAUACUUGUAUCAGUGGGAAAAGUGGAGGCAACAAAACAAAGCCCUGUCAUCAGAUGGAAACACGAUGCUUGCAGCAAGACCAUUUCAACACAGAUGUAACCUGCAAUAAGGCUUCAAAGCCUGACCUUUGCAGUCCUUGGCUUGAACUCUGUAGUGCAAAGCAGACGGUGUGCAAUACCAAUUCCAUGACAGCAUGUGUCCUGCAAAAUUCAAAUCAGCAAUCAUCCAAAUAACAGUCCAAUUCAAAUC